GUAGUAGGCUGCGAUAAGCCUCGGGGAGCUGCCAAACGAGCUGUGAUCCGAGGGUGUCCGAAUGGGGAAACCCAGCACGCGUGAUGGCGUGGUACCCGCAUCUGAAUACAUAGGGUGUGUGGAGGGAACGCGGGGAAGUGAAACAUCUCAGUACCCGCAGGAAGCGAAAACAACAGUGAUUCCGUCAGUAGCGGCGAGCGAACGCGGAAGAGGCUAAACCGCAUGCGUGUGAUACCCGGCAGGGGUUGCGUGUGUGG
rnacentral:rRNA from 1 species